AUACGGAGGAUGCGAGCGUUAUCCGGAUUUAUUGGGUUUAAAGGGUGCGCAGGCGGCAUGUCAAGUCAGCGGUCAAAAUGCGGCGCUCAACGCCGUACCGCCGUUGAAACUGGCGCGUUUGAGUUCGUGGGAGGAUCGCGGAAUGCGCGGUGUAGCGGUGAAAUGCAUAGAUAUCGCGCAGAACCCCGAUUGCGAAGGCAGCGGUCCAUCACGCGACUGACGCUCAUGCACGAAAGCGUGGGUAUCGAACAGGAUUAGAUACCCUGGUAGUCCACGCGGUAAACGAUGAUAACUAGUUAUUCGGGGCGAUUGAGUCCUGAGUGACCGAGCGAAAGCGUUAAGUUAUCCACCUGGGGAGUACGCCGGCAACGGUGAAACUCAAAGGAAUUGACGGGG
rnacentral:rRNA from 1 species